GAAAUAUAGUGCAAAGAAAAAAGCUGCUAACUUUUUUAUUUAAUGGUUUAACUCCAUUAGUAUUUCG
rnacentral:tRNA from 1 species